rnacentral:rRNA from 1 species
GAGACUGGGAUAACACCUGGAAACAGAUGCUAAUACCGGAUAACAACACUAGACGCAUGUCUAGAGUUUAAAAGAUGGUUCUGCUAUCACUCUUGGAUGGACCUGCGGUGCAUUAGCUAGUUGGUAAGGUAACGGCUUACCAAGGCAAUGAUGCAUAGCCGAGUUGAGAGACUGAUCGGCCACAUUGGGACUGAGACACGGCCCAAACUCCUACGGGAGGCAGCAGUAGGGAAUCUUCCACAAUGGACGCAAGUCUGAUGGAGCAACGCCGCGUGAGUGAAGAAGGGUUUCGGCUCGUAAAGCUCUGUUGGUAGUGAAGAAAGAUAGAGGUAGUAACUGGCCUUUAUUUGACGGUAAUUACCUAGAAAGUCACGGCUAACUACGUGCCAGCAGCCGCGGUAAUACGUAGGUGGCAAGCGUUGUCCGGAUUUAUUGGGCGUAAAGCGAGUGCAGGCGGUUCAAUAAGUCUGAUGUGAAAGCCUUCGGCUCAACCGGAGAAUUGCAUCAGAAACUGUUGAACUUGAGUGCAGAAGAGGAGAGUGGAACUCCAUGUGUAGCGGUGGAAUGCGUAGAUAUAUGGAAGAACACCAGUGGCGAAGGCGGCUCUCUGGUCUGCAACUGACGCUGAGGCUCGAAAGCAAGGGUAGCGAACAGGAUUAGAUACCCUGGUAGUCCAUGCCGUAAACGAUGAGUGCUAAGUGUUGGGAGGUUUCCGCCUCUCAGUGCUGCAG